rnacentral:rRNA from 1 species
CUUAGAGUUUGAUCCUGGCUCAGAUUGAACGCUGGCGGCAGGCCUAACACAUGCAAGUCGAGCGGAUGAGAAGAGCUUGCUCUUUGAUUCAGCGGCGGACGGGUGAGUAAUACCUAGGAAUCUGCCUGGUAGUGGGGGACAACGUUUCGAAAGGAACACUAAUACCGCAUACGUCCUACGGGAGAAAGCAGGGGACCUUCGGGCCUUGCGCUAUCAGAUGAGCCUAGGUCGGAUUAGCUAGUUGGUGAGGUAAUGGCUCACCAAGGCUACGAUCCGUAACUGGUCUGAGAGGAUGAUCAGUCACACUGGAACUGAGACACGGUCCAGACUCCUACGGGAGGCAGCAGUGGGGAAUAUUGGACAAUGGGCGAAAGCCUGAUCCAGCCAUGCCGCGUGUGUGAAGAAGGUCUUCGGAUUGUAAAGCACUUUAAGUUGGGAGGAAGGGCAGUAAGCGAAUACCUUGCUGUUUUGACGUUACCGACAGAAUAAGCACCGGCUAACUCUGUGCCAGCAGCCGCGGUAAUACAGAGGGUGCAAGCGUUAAUCGGAAUUACUGGGCGUAAAGCGCGCGUAGGUGGUUCGUUAAGUUGGAUGUGAAAUCCCCGGGCUCAACCUGGGAACUGCAUCCAAAACUGGCGAGCUAGAGUAGGGCAGAGGGUGGUGGAAUUUCCUGUGUAGCGGUGAAAUGCGUAGAUAUAGGAAGGAACACCAGUGGCGAAGGCGACCACCUGGGCUCAUACUGACACUGAGGUGCGAAAGCGUGGGGAGCAAACAGGAUUAAGCC